CCAGCACACUGCGGCUGCGCGGGCCCGCUCAUUACAUCACAAAAGCCCCGCCCUUUGGGCCGGGCGUGUGCUCGGGUUGUUUUCCUCCUCGGAACCCAGGGAAGAGGCAAGUGGGACGCCCCGUCGCAGUUUGCACUCUUCUCGCCCUCCCCCAGCCUUCCCCACCCCACACAGCUAACGUGCCGCCCGGGGCGGGUGCUGGGGGCGGCUCGGUGAACCGGGUCGCUGUAGUCCAGCACACUUGGGAGCUUCCCGUCGAAAAUGGAUUCGGAUAAACAAUGAAGUCUCAGAAAACAAGCUCAGGAGUUGCUUUUCAAGGCAAGUGUUCCUAAAUCAGAACAAAACAAAAAAUUGGAAAAUUAAGACUCCUGACAAGGUUCUUCCUGUUACUUCCUACCUCAGGGCAAAUAAAGUAGCUGGAAGUUUUCCUAAGAAAGUUGUCUCCGUUAUUUGUACCUGUGAGUUGAUAUUAUUCAUCCAAGGCCAAGUACUGUCGCAAAGCUACUGAGUGUCCAUUAGGGGCAUGCUUACCUCAAAUAAGGUAUUUGGCUGUCCUAAGAAUCCCAGGAAGCUUUGCAGUGUGAAUGUGAUGGGGUCAGAAGGCUUGAGGGCCAAAGUUCGUGCCCUGGAGAACACUUUCAAAGAACAGAGGCGAAGCAUCCAGAAAAGGAAUGAUCAGAUGGAGGAGAAGCAAGAAUAUGGUGUCAAAACAAGGGAAGUUUACAGCUUGGUAUGGUUUGUCCCCCAAAGUUUGAUGGACGGGAAGCUAGGUCCCCAGUGUGGCAACGCUGAGGUGGUAGGACUUUUAAGAGGUGGGUCCUUAUGGAAAGUAAUUGGUUAUAAGGGUUCCAUUCUGAUAUGGAUCAAUGCUCGUCUUGCAGUAUGGUUGAGUCUCACAGGAGUUGUCACCAUAGCAUAUUUUUAUAUAGAGGAGCCAACACAUACCUUGGACCCUUCUGCAUGAGGCUAUUUCUCUUUACAAAUAUCCACCACGUUGUGACACAGACCAAGGGGGCCCUCACCAGGAUGCUGGCAUACUGCUGUUUGGACCCUCCAUCCACCAGAUCAUGAGACAAAUAAAUCAUUUAUAAAGUA